GCGGGGGCAGUGAUCAAAUUGUAACUUGGCCAGGAGAAUCAGAAGCUAGAGGAAAAUGGAGGAGGAAAGAAGAACCACAUCUGUUUCUACCGCGCCAUGGCACCCGGGGGGGUCUCGAAUUACACUUCCAUCCCACCUUCCCCCUCCCUCCCGGCCAGGGGUUGGCUCAGGAAUAGUUGAAACUGUGAUUCGCUGCUACAGUUCUCUGUGCUGUCCUGGUUGCUACAAGCUGAAGUCUGCUCAGUUCUGGGGAGGAAAGAGCUGCUCGUACACCUCCAAGAGCUUGUGCAUUUUCUCCUGCAAGAGACAUGGGACUCAGGCACCAAAGGUCUGUGAGAGUGGCUGGUGACCUAGAGAUGCACGGAGUCCUUCCCUGCAACCGUGGCCCAGAAUCCAGAGAGGGCAAUGAGCUACUGACAAGGGUUGGAGGGAAAACAGAGUGAUGUUUGAGUUGGGUAUUGAAGGAUGAAUAGGAGUUCACCAUGCAGAGCAUAAAAACAACGAUAAACAGGAACAGAGCUAACCAUUGCUGUAAGCCAUGUGCUGUUCUACAUGAUACAUGUUUUAACUCACCUAGUGAGGUGAAUGCCAUUGUUAUCUUCAUUUUACAGACAAGGAAACUGAGGCACAGAGCGGUCAGUUGAGUAUCUGAGACCCAGACUCGGACAAUCCAUAUGUCACCUUCCCCUGACCAUGGUGACUGGUGGGGUGGUCACAUGGGUAACCAGCACCCAGAAGUGCGAUGGGACAGCGUCAAAGCUCAUGCUUCAGCUCUGAGCCAGACGCUAGUGUAGCAGAACGCAGAGGUGAGCCUGCGGCAACCUCGACAACAG
rnacentral:lncRNA from 1 species